GAUGAACGCUGGCGGCGUGCUUAACACAUGCAAGUCGAACGAAGCACUUUGGGCAGAUUCUUCGGAUGAAGUCCUUAGUGACUGAGUGGCGGACGGGUGAGUAACGCGUGGGUAACCUGCCUCAUACAGGGGGAUAACAGUUAGAAAUGGCUGCUAAUACCGCAUAAGCGCACGGUACUGCAUGGUACAGUGUGAAAAACUCCGGUGGUAUGAGAUGGACCCGCGUUGGAUUAGCUAGUUGGCAGGGUAACGGCCUACCAAGGCGACGAUCCAUAGCCGGCCUGAGAGGGUGGACGGCCACAUUGGGACUGAGACACGGCCCAGACUCCUACGGGAGGCAGCAGUGGGGAAUAUUGCACAAUGGGGGAAACCCUGAUGCAGCGACGCCGCGUGAGCGAAGAAGUAUUUCGGUAUGUAAAGCUCUAUCAGCAGGGAAGAAAAUGACGGUACCUGACUAAGAAGCCCCGGCUA
rnacentral:rRNA from 1 species